rnacentral:rRNA from 1 species
AUUGAACGCUGGCGGCAGGCCUAACACAUGCAAGUCGAGCGGUAACAGGGAUAGCUUGCUAUCUGCUGACGAGCGGCGGACGGGUGCGUAACGCGUAGGAAUUUGCCCGGUAGUGGGGGAUAUCCCGGAGAAAUUCGGAUUAAUACCGCAUACCUUCUACGGAAGAAAGCAGGGGAUCUUCGGACCUUGCGCUAUCGGAUGAGCCUGCGUCGGAUUAGCUAGUUGGUGGGGUAAAUGCCUACCAAGGCGACGAUCCGUAGCUGGUCUGAGAGGAUGAUCAGCCACACUGGGACUGAGACACGGCCCAGACUCCUACGGGA